UACGGGGGGGGCAAGCGUUGUUCGGAAUUACUGGGCGGAAAGGGCUCGUAGGUGGCCAACUAAGUCAGACGUGAAAUCCCCAGGCUCAACUUGGGAACUGCGUCUGAUACUGGAUGGCUUGAAUUCGGGAGAGGGAUGCAGAAUUCCAGGUGUAGCGGUGAAAUGCGUAGAUAUCUGGAGGAAUACCGGUGGCGAAGGCGGCAUCCUGGACCGAGAUUGACACUGAUGAGCGAAAGCUAGGGGAGCAAACGGG
rnacentral:rRNA from 1 species